GUGGAUUUGAUACCCGAGUAGUCCACGCCGUAAACGAUGAGUGCUAGGCGCCGGAGGAUUGACCCCGUCGGUGCCGCAGCUAACGCGUUAAGCACUCCGCCUGGGGAGUACGGUCGCAAGACUAAAACUCAAAGGAAUUGACGGGGGCCCGCACAAGCGGUGGAGCAUGUGGUUUAAUUCGACGCUACGCGCAGAACCUUACCUGGGUUAAAUCCACCAGAACCUGGCCCAAAAGCCGGGGUGCCCUUCGGGGAAUUGGUGAGAAGGUGCUGCACGGCUGUCGUCAGCU
rnacentral:rRNA from 1 species